AUUAUUAUGGGGCAUUACAAUAUGGAUGUGAAUGAGGUCAUGUUUUCAUAUACACAUUAGAAUGAGAUGUUGAUUACCUUACGCUGAAUGAUUAUGUUUUUGAGAUACAAUCUCAUAUGGUAGAGACAGGUUGUAGUAACGCCCUAACCAUUUAGAUGCGGGGCAUUACAAAGAAGCUUUAGAGAAGAUUUGUACCAGCAAAUCUUACAAGACCUAAGACCAUGUUGCACUCCUUUCCACUUGGUAAGGCUUCACUUGUGCCAUCCAUACCAAUAUCAUUUUCCAUUGUAGAUGUGUUUUUCUUUGAUG
rnacentral:lncRNA from 1 species